CAUGUUUUACUAAAUUGCCAGCUUGAUCAUUAAAUAGCUAACUUACUGAGUUAACUUUUUCUUUCCACUCCAGCUGAGUGUUCCAUGGUGAAAGACACAGUGAUCACAUUCAACAACAGGAAAUUCAAGAACGAGAUGCCCCACUCUUGUGCCCAGGUUUUGGGUCAGGAUUGUACCCGGAACUUAAAUUCCCUGU